GAUUAACGCUGGCGGCGUGCAUAACACAUGCAAGUCGAACGAUGAAACUUAGUAGACUUCUUCGGAAAGACACUAAGCGGAUUAGUGGCAAACGGGUGAGUAACGCGUGAGUAACCUGCCUUACACAAGGGGAUAGCCUUUGGAAACGAAGAAUAAUACCCUAUAAAACCAUAAAAGCACAUGCUAGAAUGGUCAAAGUGAUAGCGGUGUAAGAUGGACUUGCGUCUGAUUAGCUAGUUGGUGAGAUAAAAGCUCACCAAGGCAACGAUCAGUAGCCGGCUUGAGAGAGUGUACGGCCACAUUGGGACUGAGACACGGCCCAGACUCCUACGGGAGGCAGCAGUGGGGAAUUUUGCACAAUGGGGGAAACCCUGAUGCAGCGACGCCGCGUGAUUUAGAAGGCCUUCGGGUUGUAAAAAUCUUUUGUAUAGGAAGAAAAUGACAGUACUAUACGAAUAAGGUCCGGCUAAUUACGUG
rnacentral:rRNA from 1 species